rnacentral:rRNA from 1 species
CCUACGGGUGGCAGCAGUGGGGGAUAUUGCACAAUGGGCGCAACCCUGAUGCAGCGACGCCGCGUGAGUGAAGAAGUAUUUCGGUAUGUAAAGCUCUAUCAGCCGGGAAGAAAAAAGACGGUACCUUACUAAUACGCGCCUGCUAACUACGUGCCAGCAGCCUCGCUCAUACGUAGGGGGCACGCGUUAUCCGGAUUUACUGGGUGUAAAGGGAGCGUAGACGGCAAUACAAGUCGGAAGUGAAAUACCCGGGCUCAACCUGGGAACUGCUUUGGAAACUGUAUGGCUGGAGUGCUGGAGAGGUAAGCGGAAUGCCUAGUGUAGCGGUGAAAUGCGUAGAUAUUAGGAGGAACACCAGUGGCGAAGGCGGCUUACUGGACAGUAACUGACGUUGAGGCUCGAAAGCGUGGGGAGCAAACAGGAUUAGAUACCCUGGUAGUC